GGAGGGGGCGAGCGUUGUCCGGAUUUAUUGGGCGUAAAGCGCGCGUAGGCGGCUCGGAAAGUCGGGUGUGAAAAUCCGGGGCUCAACCCCGGGCUUGCAUCCGAUACUCCCGGGCUGGAGGCAGACAGGGGAGAGCGGAAUUCCUGGUGUAGCGGUGAAAUGCGCAGAUAUCAGGAGGAACACCGGUGGCGAAGGCGGCUCUCUGGGUCUGUCCUGACGCUCAGGCGCGAAAGCUAGGGGAGCAAACAGGAUUAGAUACCCUGGUAGUCCUAGCCGUAAACGUUGGGUGCUAGGUGUGGGGCGGCGUUUGACCCGCUCUGUGCCGAAGCUAACGCAUUAAGCACCCCGCCUGGGGAGUACGGCCGCAAGGCUA
rnacentral:rRNA from 1 species